rnacentral:rRNA from 1 species
GACGAACGCUGGCGGCGUGCUUAACACAUGCAAGUCGAACGAAGUGGCGAACGGGUGAGUAACGCGUAAGCAACCUGCCCUUCAGAGGGGGAAAACAGUUGGAAACGACUGCUAAUACCGCAUACGGAAGGAGGGGAUUGCGUGGUAUUAGCUAGCAGGAGGGGUAACGGCCCACCAAGGCGAUGAUCCGUAGCCGGUCUGGGAGGAUGAACGGCCACAUUGGGACUGGGACAAGGCCCAGACUCCUACGGGAGGCAGCAGUGGGGAAUCUUCCGCAAUGGACGAAAGUCUGACGGAGCAACGCCGCGUGAGUGAUGACGGCCUUCGGGUUGUAAAGCUCUGUUAAUCGGGACGCGGUACCGGAAUAGAAAGCCACGGCUAACUACGUGCCAGCAGCCGCGGUAAUAC